UACAGGGGGGGCAAGCGUUGUUCGGAAUUACUGGGCGUAAAGGGCUCGUAGGCGGCCAACUAAGUCACACGUGAAAUCCCCAGGCUUAACCUGGGAACUGCGUGUGAUACUGGAUGGCUUGAAUCCGGGAGAGGGAUGCGGAAUUCCAGGUGUAGCGGUGAAAUGCGUAGAUAUCAGGAAGAACACCAAUGGCGAAGGCAGCUCUCUGGGACGGUACUGACGCUGAGACGCGAAAGCGUGGGGAGCGAACAGG
rnacentral:rRNA from 1 species